ACUGGGUGUAAAGGGAGAGUAGGCGGCAUGGUAAGUUAGAAUGUGAAAGCCCGAGGCUUAACCUCGGGAUUGCAUUUAAAACUAUCAAGCUAGAGUACAGGAGAGGUAAAGUGGAAUUCCUAGUGGUAGCGGUGAAAUGCGUAGAUAUUAGGAGAACACCAGUGGCGAAGGCGACUUACUGGACUGAAACUGGACGCUGAGGGCUCGAAAGCGUGGGGAGCGAACAGGAUUAGAUACCCUGGUAGUCCACGCCGUAAACGAUGAGUGCUAGGUGUCGGGGGGGGACCCUCGGUGCCGCAGCUAACGCAAUAAGCACUCCACCUGGGGAGUACGAUCGCAAGAUUGAAACUCAAAGGAAUUGACGGGGGCCCGCACAAGCGGUGGAGCAUGUGGUUUAAUUCGAAGCAACGCGA
rnacentral:rRNA from 1 species